GACGAACGCUGGCGGCGUGCUUAACACAUGCAAGUCGAACGGAAAGGCCUCAGCUUGCUGGGGUACUCGAGUGGCGAACGGGUGAGUAACACGUGGGUGAUCUGCCUUGCACUCUGGGAUAAGCUUGGGAAACUGGGUCUAAUACCGGAUAUGAACUGCCUUUAGUGUGGUGGUUGGAAAGUUUUUUCGGUGCAAGAUGAGCUCGCGGCCUAUCAGCUUGUUGGUGGGGUAAUGGCCUACCAAGGCGUCGACGGGUAGCCGGCCUGAGAGGGUGUACGGCCACAUUGGGACUGAGAUACGGCCCAGACUCCUACGGGAGGCAGCAGUGGGGAAUAUUGCACAAUGGGCGGAAGCCUGAUGCAGCGACGCCGCGUGGGGUAUGACGGCCUUCGGGUUGUAAUCUCCUUUCGACAGGGACGAAGCUUUUUGUGACGGUACCUGUAUAAGAAGCACCGGCUAACUACGUG
rnacentral:rRNA from 1 species